GCGGGAGUAGCUCAGUGGUAGAGCACUUCCUUGCCAAGGAAGAUGUCGGGGGUUCAAAUCCCCUCUCCCGCUCCA
rnacentral:tRNA from 3 species